GCAUUUCAUGCAUUCGUUGCAGUUCUUGAAAAUUCUCGGGAAAUUAUGGAUUAUUGAGACAGCAGCGGUAACUGGGCAAGAAAACACCGCUUGUAAGCUCUAUGAUGUAACAAGUGUAAGCUAUGGUAAAGUGUACUUCAAUCGGAUAUUUUACCGGAAUGGCACGAGGGUGGAACUGCCUUUGACUGGAAUACUAACAAUCGAGCCUCAUCGCUUUGUGGCAAGCCUUAUGAAUUACAAGAGUAUUAUGAAAGUUUAUCCUCGUGGUGAGCCUUGGUUUGAAGAGCGUCUACUAUACCAAAGUGCAAGAAUGGAUUGCGGUGUCUUUUACGUAAAAGGCCAGAGAGGUGCCGAAUUCCAUGAACUCCGCCUCUGGAAUUCGUCUGCUGUGAGCGCAUAUAAAGACUGUCUUAAAGCUUACGCUGAACGUGUACCGGACGGAAGAGUGAUCACGACGUAUUACAACGUCUUGUGCAAGAACAUAUUUCCAG